rnacentral:rRNA from 1 species
UCCUGGCUCAGAUUGAACGCUGGCGGCAGGCCUAACACAUGCAAGUCGAGCGGUAACAGAUCUAGCUUGCUAGAUGCUGACGAGCGGCGGACGGGUGAGUAAUGCAUAGGAAUCUGCCCGAUAGUGGGGGAUAACCUGGGGAAACCCAGGCUAAUACCGCAUACGUCCUACGGGAGAAAGGGGGCUCCGGCUCCCGCUAUGGGAUGAGCCUAUGUCGGAUUAGCUAGUUGGUGAGGUAACGGCUCACCAAGGCGACGAUCCGUAGCUGGUCUGAGAGGAUGAUCAGCCACAUCGGGACUGAGACACGGCCCGAACUCCUACGGGAGGCAGCAGUGGGGAAUAUUGGACAAUGGGCGAAAGCCUGAUCCACCCGAGCCAUGCCGCGUGUGUGAAGAAGGCCCUCGGGUUGUAAAGCACUUUCAGCGAGGAAGAACGCCUAGCGGUUAAUCUAGGAAAGACAUCACUCGCAGAAGAAGCACCGGCUAACUCCGUGCCAGCAGCCGCGGUAAUACGGAGGGUGCAAGCGUUAAUCGGAAUUACUGGGCGUAAAGCGCGCGUAGGUGGCUUGAUAAGCCGGUUGUGAAAGCCCCGGGCUCAACCUGGGAACGGCAUCCGGAACUGUCAAGCUAGAGUGCAGGAGAGGAAGGUAGAAUUCCCGGUGUAGCGGUGAAAUGCGUAGAGAUCGGGAGGAAUACCAGUGGCGAAGGCGGCCUUCUGGACUGACACUGACACUGAGGUGCGAAAGCGUGGGUAGCAAACA